rnacentral:rRNA from 1 species
GAUGAACGCUGGCGGCGUGCUUAACACAUGCAAGUCGAACGAUGAAGCCCAGCUUGCUGGGUGGAUUAGUGGCGAACGGGUGAGUAACACGUGAGUAACCUGCCCUUAACUCUGGGAUAAGCCUGGGAAACUGGGUCUAUUACCGGAUAGGAGCGUCCACCGCAUGGUGGGUGUUGGAAAGCUUUAUCGGUUUUGGAUGGACUCGCGGCCUAUCAGCUUGUUGGUGAGGUAAUGGCUCACCAAGGCGACGACGGGUAGCCGGCCUGAGAGGGUGACCGGCCACACUGGGACUGAGACACGGCCCAGACUCCUACGGGAGGCAGCAGUGGGGAAUAUUGCACAAUGGGCGCAAGCCUGAUGCAGCGACGCCGCGUGAGGGAUGACGGCCUUCGGGUUGUAAACCGCUUUCAGUAGGGAAGAAGCGAAAGUGACGGUACCUGCAGAAGAAGCACCGGCUAACUACGUG